CCACUGGUGUUAUUCAACACCACCUUUUUGGAAACUCAAAAGUUACU
rfam:Auxenochlorella protothecoides strain 0710 unplaced genomic scaffold scaffold18, whole genome shotgun sequence.